GAUGAAGAACGUAGCGAAAUGCGAUAAUUAAUGUGAAUUGCAGAAUUCAGUGAAUCAUCGAGUCUUUGAACGCACAUUGCGCCCCCUGGUAUUCCGGGGGGCAUGCCUGUCCGAGCGUCAUUGCUGCCCUCAAGCACGGCUUGUGUGUUGGGCUCCGUCCCCCCGGGGACGGGCCCGAAAGGCAGCGGCGGCACCGAGUCCGGUCCUCGAGCGUAUGGGGCUUUGUCACCCGCUCUGUAGGCCCGGCCGGCGCCAGCCGACAACCCAUCAUCCUUUUCAGGUUGACCUCGGAUCAGGUAGGGAUACCCGCUGAACUUAAGCAUAUCAAUAAGCGGAGGA
rnacentral:misc_RNA from 1 species